UUUUUGGGGGAACACAAAUAUUCAGUCCAUAGCAAGGCAAGUGCCAAACAGCUUUUUUUGUUUUUGUUUUUCCUGUUUACAAUGCUGUAUGGAAGCUCUGCUGUACAUCUAAGAUCCCACAGUUAUAUUACAAAGCACCAUUCAGCUUUUCCCAGAAGACAAAGCAUUUACAGAUUGUUCAAGAAAUAAGCUUAUCAUUUCCUCCUAAUGUAAAGGCUGAUGAACAAGUAAUAGAAAACAAACAAUAAGAUGAAAUUUGUUUUAUUCUUGAGUUUGGGCAAGGUUUCCUAACCUACAGAAACGAGUUGGAGUUUCCCAUGUUAAUGUGAUUCUACCCUUUCCCGGGAGCCAUACAUGUCUUCGGCAUGUCAUGUCCUCAGCUUCACCACCAGAGAGAGCCAUUCUGUAACAGAUGAGGUCAACUUAAUGGAAACACGUGACAGCUGGGUGUCGAUCAGAGACCAAGUCUACAGGUUACAGAUAUUGCAUUAGGUGGGGCAUGCCUGUGACGUGGCUUCCUUCCUAGCAGAGUAAGAAGCUGGAAGAGAUGUGAGAUUGGAACGCAAGGGAGACAAGACAGAAGCAGUGCAAACCCCAGGCCUUUGUCAGCGGCAGCCGGUACCAGGAUCACAGGCUCUUUGUGGAUUUGCUAAGCAGAUUUUCCAAACCAAAAAGAAAGAGUCAGUUGGUUUCCUGCUGCAGUCUGCACGACCCAGCAACCAGCCGCUACGCACAUCCUAAAGCAUAAGCUCACCGAGGCACUCACACGGCAUGCCUUUCCCACGAAAGACACUGUCAGAGUCAAAGGAACCCAGAAGCAAAUGUACAACUAGCCAAUACCAAAGACUAGGUCUGUUCCUUUCUAAAAUCCACUACCAGACACCUUCGUUGCACCAAGAUAUACUCUAAUGAAGAAUUUCCAGAUGAAAUCUAACCCCAAAUACUGGAGUUUCCAGUGCCUAAAUAUAUUUUUUUUAAGUCUAACUUAUGCAAAUUAUAACAAUGCAAACAACUAGACUGCAUCCCUGAAGCCGUGCUGCAAGAUCUGGGCUGUUGGUUUAGUAUAAAUAGAUUUUACAGGUGACACAGAGAUUUCAUUCCAUCUUCCUCUCCCCCUCUUCCCCCACACUAAGCUGCUUCCUAGCUGUCUUUUUAAUGUUAGAUAAUUCGAGCCAAACGCUGCAGUUAUUUUAGUAGUACAAUCUUCAUUCAGAAAUUUCAGAGUGCCUGAGCCCAGGCAAAUCCCUUCAGACGUCUGAUGACACUGGGUAAAAUCAGCGCCUCUAGAAUCUGUAAGUCACAUCUC